rnacentral:misc_RNA from 1 species
AAGUCGUAACAAGGUUUCCGUAGGUGAACCUGCGGAAGGAUCAUUACCGAGUGGCGCGAAAUUCCUGUCGUGAGACGGGGAAGCUACCCGACCUUUUGUCAUUUUGUCAAGUCUGGCUGGCGGGAUUGCAUUCGUGAGAAAGCGAAUGUGGAUUUCGGCAGACGGACCAAAACUUCGGCGGAAGAGGUAGGCGUGGACCUGCCCGCCGCCGGCCGUAGAAGACAAUAUACAUUCUUGAGAGCAAACUGAAGUCUAAGACGAUCCUUGAAAAAGGAAUACCAAAAAAAAGCAAAACUUUCAACAACGGAUCUCUUGGCUCUG